rnacentral:misc_RNA from 1 species
AACACUGUUAACCUGCGGUACCUGCGGAGGGAUCAUUACUGUGAUUUACUACUACACUGCGUGAGCGGAACGAAAACAACAACACCUAAAAUGUGGAAUAUAGCAUAUAGUCGACAAGAGAAAUCUACGAAAAAGCAAACAAAACUUUCAGCAACGGAUCU